CGUUUUUCAGUUUCCUCUCAGAGAAGAGAAGAUGCCAAACUUUUAGUUUUGAUUUCAUUUCCAUCAUCAUCAUCUGUAUAAGACUUCAGUAUCCAUUUACGUAAAUGGAUCUGCUCUAAAGAACUGUUUUUCUUUUGUAUCAACAAAGAGUUGGAAGUAGAGAACGGAGAUUUGAGGUCAUCUGUCAGUGAUAAUUCUUCAGUUGCUACUGAAAAUCGAGAUUAGCUUUCUGUAAUUCCUUUGAAUUUGUGGUGCUAACCAAUAGUUUCUUUGAAGAAGACGAAUCCCGGCGCCAAUUUCCUUCUAGUCGGAGUCUGAUCGUGAAUUUUCUACUCUAUUAGAUGGAUGCAAAUACAACUCAAAGUGAAGCUUCAACUGAAAUUAGUUCCUCUAUUCACCCUACAUCUGUACCUGCACCUUCUGCUGAUACUCAGCAAGCUGCACAAUCUGCUCCAACCGAAGCUAAUUUAGAAGUUUAAAGAUUUUUGUUAAUGUAUGAAUUCAGGUCUUAAGACUCUUAAAAGUUAAAGUUUUUAAGC